AGAUUGCAGGCUGCAACUCGCCUGCAUGAAGGCGGAAUUGCUAGUAAUCGCGAAUCAGAAUGUCGCGGUGAAUACGUUCCCGGGCCUUGUACACACCGCCCGUCACACCAUGAGAGUCGAUAACACCCGAAGCCUGUGAGCUAACCUUAGGGAGGCAGCAGUCGAAGGUGGGGUUGAUGAUUAGGGUUAAGUCGUAACAAGGUAGC
rnacentral:rRNA from 1 species